GAGUUCACCGAAAGACUCUGCUCCAGCUGAAAAGUAGCGCAGGAAGCCAACUACGUUUUCCUCUCUUCAUCCAAUCGUACGUCUCAGCAGGAUGCCUGCUGCCUGCGAAUCAGGAUAUAGAGUGAUCUGGCACCAUGGAUGUGUGCUCUUUACCAUGAUCACGGACCAACCAUCUACAACUGAAUUCACAGUGAAUAUAUUGGCUUGAGUCCCAGCUGAGAUGUGGACUUUGGACUUUCAAAUUACUGAAGUUUGUAAAGACUGUGGCAUCUGUUGAUUCAUUGGAUAAUAUUGUUCAAUACAAGAUGAACAUGACACUACGGAGACAAGGAGUGGAAUGUUAUUAUUUAAGGUGAUAUACUUGGAUAUCAAGCUGACUAAGCAUGGGAUUUUGAUGUUAAUAUCAAUUGCCAUCCUAAUGAGAUAAAAAAUCACUUUGAAAAUGGGAUUCUGGGCAUGCUUAUGAAGUAUUAUUUUGAUUAGGAUUAUUAAGAAGGAAAUACCCACUUACUCUGUGUAGUUCCAUUACUUGGGCUGCAUUUUAGAUUAUCAAAAGGGGAAAAUAAGCUGAGCUGCUCCUUGACCGUAGAUGCAUAGUAAGUAUCUGCCUUAAGCUUCUCUCAUUUUUACUUCCCCAACAACAUAGACUGUAGCCUUGAAUUAUGAACCAGAAUAAACUCUUUCUCUCCUGA